rnacentral:rRNA from 1 species
CCCCCAAAAUACCAUUAAUUUUCAUGAACCCCUAAUUUAUAAUGAAUGACUCCAUAUUUAUAUGGAAGACACCAUGCUAGGAUUAGUAACAAGAAUUUAUAAUUCUCCAAAAUGCAAAUAUAAACCAACAUGGAUUGACCAUUGGUAGUUACCGAACCUAAAUUUACUGCAAUAACACCCACAAGAAAACUCUGCAGUACUUACUCGUUAACCUAACACCAGCGCAUUACAGGAAAGAUUUAAAAAAAGAGAAGGAAUUCGGCAAAUGACGGCCCCGCCUGUUUACCAAAAACAUCGCCUCUUGACUUAUAAUAAGAGGUCCAGCCUGCCCAGUGAAUUUUAAACGGCCGCGGUAUCCUAACCGCGCGAAGGUAGCAUAAUCACUUGUUCUUUAAAUGGGGACUCGUAUCAACGGCAUCACGAGGGUUUUACUGUCUCCUCUUUUUGAUCAGUGAAAUUGAUCUUCCCGUGAAGAAGCGGGAAUAUUUUUAUAAGACGAGAAGACCCCAUGGAGCUUUAAACCAAAUAACAACUUAACUACUUAUCCCACAAUAAAUUUAAGCCCUGUUAUAAGGUUUUUGGUUGGGGUGACCGCGGAGUAAAGCACAUCCUCCACGACGGAAAGAACAUAAUCUUUAUUUAAGAACCACACUUCUAGAAAUUAGUAUACUAACGUUUACUGACCCGACAAUCGAUCAACGGACCAAGUUACCCUGGGGAUAACAGCGCAAUCUACUUCAAGAGCUCAUAUCGACAAGUAGGCUUACGACCUCGAUGUUGGAUCAGGGUAUCCCGGUGGUGCAGCCGCUACCGAAGGUUCGUUUGUUCAACGAUUAAAACCCUACGUGAUCUGAU